rnacentral:rRNA from 1 species
CGGCGCCGCAUGCAGUCGAGCGGACGAGUUAUCUGAACCUUCGGGGAACGAUAACGGCGUCGAGCGGCGGACGGGUGAGUAAUGCCUAGGAAAUUGCCCUGAUGUGGGGGAUAACCAUUGGAAACGAUGGCUAAUACCGCAUAAUGCCUACGGGCCAAAGAGGGGGACCUUCGGGCCUCUCGCGUCAGGAUAUGCCUAGGUGGGAUUAGCUAGUUGGUGAGGUAAUGGCUCACCAAGGCGACGAUCCCUAGCUGGUCUGAGAGGAUGAUCAGCCACACUGGAACUGAGACACGGUCCAGACUCCUACGGGAGGCAGCAGUGGGGAAUAUUGCACAUUGUGCGCAAGCCUGAUGCAGCCAUGCUGCGCGUGUGAAGAAGGCCUUCGGGUUGUAAAGCACUUUCAGUCGUGAGGAAGGUGGCGUAGUUAAUAGCAGCAUUACUUGACGUUCGCGACAGACGAUGCACCGUUUAACUCCGUGCAAGCGGCCGCGAUAAUACGGACGUUGCGAGCGAUAAUCGGACUUACUGCACGUAAAGCGCAUGCCGCUGGCUUGUCAUGUCAGAUGUAAUAUCGCGACGCUCAUCCUCGGAAUAUCAUUUGAAACUGUCAGACUAGAGUACUGUAGAGGGGGGUAGAAUUUCACGUGUAGCGGUGAAAUGCGUAGAGAUCUGAAGGAAUACCGAUGCUGUGGCGGCCCCCCUGGUCAGAUACUGACACUCAGAUGCGAAAGCGGGGGGCCGCAAACAGCAUCAGAUACCCUGGUAGAUCACGCCGUAUACGAUGUCUACAUCGGAGAUUGUGGCCCUUGAGCCGAGUCUUUCAGAGCUAACGCGUUCAAAAUAGCACUGCCUGGGGGUAGUACCGCUCGGCAUGUAUUAAAUACUGCAUAUGAAUUACACGCGGGCCCGCGCAUAUACGCCGAAGACAUUUCGAUUAACUUCGAUGCAACCGCGGAGAUACUUAGCUAGCUCGUGGACAGUCAUAGAACGGUUCUAGAAUAUGACUUGGAGCCUUCGGGAAAGUCUCUGAUUCAAGUGACUGCACUGUUCGUCACUACGUCAAGGUUCGUUUACAUGCUGGAAGUAAGUCUGCCACAAGGGCGCAUGGCUGACCUAGCUGCAGCAGUGGUGUCAGUACUCAGGGUGAACCUCGGCGUUGGGAAUAUAUGCGGCGCAGGUUAUGCU